CCCUGGUUAGCUCAGUUGGUAGAGCGCUCCACUGGUAAUGGAGAUCGAGGUCCCGGGUUCGAUACCCGGACCAGGCG
rnacentral:tRNA from 1 species